rnacentral:misc_RNA from 1 species
CCGAGAGCAGCGUCGUCACGCGGCCCAGGUGCCGGGCAGUCGACAUUCGAGCGAGCCAGAAGCCAGGUCUGAGUUGGUCUGAGUCGCAGAGCGAUUGAAAAGCGGGAAGAACAGGAUAUUUCGCGGAAACGAAAAGGUGGAAAUUCACGCUAUAACGAAUUGUAAUAAUGGGACAGGGGUGAUUUCACACGCGGGUGAGUCACGCUGCGACGUACGCUAACCACAUCCGCAACGUACGAUUAUAGGAACAUCCGCACGUCGUGCAACCAAGUAUGCCGAGGAAGCCAGCCAGCCAGCUAGGCGUGCAGGCUGCCGGCUCUCCAUGUCAAGUUAUGAAUUAAAGACCGAGGAACGACGCGGGAGUCAUUACGCUGCAGUGAAACACAGCCGGCACGACGCUGACUGAUUUUAUGGAGUGGUAGUUGUCCGAUUAUCAAUCCACGCGGAGUUUUUUCAUUCUCGUUUAUCACCACCGGGACGUGCCUUGAUUCGGUCCGUGACACGGUUACGCACGCGUUAUUCAUUGAGUGAGGAAGUGUAGAGUUUACGCGAAAGUGCAGUAUUGUGUACCUACCUAAUUUUACUCUGGGUCGGGGGGCCAAAGAUCAAUGCCUCAAUAAUACAGCAAGUUUACGCAUAGGUGUCGCCUAGCACAUGUGACGUGCCUGGAACCUGCGUCUUUGUACGCCCAAAGAGUGAAUUGGCUCAAUAUCCUGCUGCUGCACUCUCUUCUGCAAAUGACCGAUGCAUCGGGGUGUUGAAACGACUGUGAAAAUCUCUGCAAAAACGACCCCGCGACAUUGUUGCCAUUCUCUGAGUUUCUACUAGCGAGUGAAGUUAAACCGCUAGAGGCUAUCCAGGAAUUGACAAGCUCCUCGGUGCCGCAUCGCGCAUACUUACUGCAGUAAAUCGAAUAAUGGUAAUUCCAUUUUCGUCGUCAAUGACUACGACCUCCGUACCGGCCGGAAAUUCCGGCGUGGAUCAAGAUUCUAGAAAUCAGAUGACUCCCUCGUUGUACACCAUACCGAAGGAUUAUCUUGACCUAGGAAAAAUGCAGGCGGACUACAAAGAGAACAGGGCAAAGAUGCAGCUAUCAGGGACACAAGGCACAGCUGGUUCAGUAACGUCAUUCGCAGCAGGGUCGUCUUUACCCAGUCCUUCUUCAGUGAGUGAAAAAAAAUCUUGGUGUCGCCGAGUGGCUCCUUGCCUCGCUUUUCUCGUUGCAUUUUCCACGGCGAUGGCUUUACUCCUAGUGUGGAGCGAAGAUGCCGACAGGAGGAGGAAGGCUUUCAACAUCAAUAUGACGAAAGAGUACGUACACAGUGUUCCUAUGGAUAACUCUGAACUGGUAACAUAUAUCAGGGAAGUUCAUCUCUUGCCAACAACGCAUCAGGAUCCCCUUAAUUCUACGCAGACGGAAGAGGAAAAGUAUCUGUCAAAUUUAUUCCCGGGAAAACGGAACGGAAUUUACCUCGAGUACAUCAAUAGGGUGGGAGCUAUUUCAACUACGACGUGGUUGGAGUCAAAUAUGAACUGGAGAGGAGUUCUGGUUCUGACGGAUCCGCGGAGCUUCUUCGAGGCACACAGAAGCACUAGAAAUACGAAGACAAGAGUUCUACAUGCUUGUCUCAGCACAGAUAAGGAUACCAAAGAGAUAACCUAUCACCAGGAGCCAGAGGUGCAAGUUACCAAACUGGGCGAAGGUCCAAACAGCCUAGUGAGUCCAGAUGAAAGUCUGCCACCAACGAGACUAAAGUGUUUUCCACUGUACAGUGUCUUACUGGCAUAUAAUUGUACAAAUCUGGACUACUUAAGUUUAGAUAGCCUAGAUGCUCAAGACGUACAGGUGCUGGAUACGAUUCCGAGGGAAAUGCCGCGAAUUUCCGUCCUAUCUAUUCAAUGGAGCCCGCAUCACAACGAGGUGGAAACAAAACAUUUAAUUCAAAAGCUGACCGAGCGAAGGUACAAACACUUUCACACAACGGAGACUGGGAAGAUGAUAUUUCUUUACAAUAGACUACUCAAAAUUUAAAUAGAAAUUAUUAUAGAAGGCUUUCAAGCCGUGGAAUUUGAUCAUGAAUCUAGACCAGAAUGAGAAACUGAUUCAUACGCUUUCCCAUACCAAAUAAGCGAAAGUCAUACUUUUCAAUUGAUCUUUCUAGAAACGGAUAUAUUAUCCACGCAUGAUGGAAGAAGUAUACAUCUGAUUGUGAGUUAUGCAAAAUUGUGUGAACAAAAUUCUUAUCGACUCAAGUUUUCGAAUUUGGCUGUUUAGAAAUUUUGUUUUUAAUAUUUUGUCUUGCAUAAGGAUUUUGAGUUCCUGCAAACGGGAUAAUAUUAAAGUGAUUGCGUAGACGUUUCAGUGUGAUUCGCAUAUGGGUCUAUCGUUGUCAAAUUGAAAAAUCAAAAACCCUUAUUAUGUUUCUUUUUCAUUGGCAAUUUUCCGUACGGUAUUCAGAUUUAUUUUUGAACCGUUGGCGAAUUAUAAAUUUCUUUGACUUAAAAAUGACGCCUACACCAAUUAUUUUGGGAAAAUUCAUAAGAAUCUAUCAUUCAUGACAAACAUUUACCAACAAGAUUAAAACUGGUGAAUCUCUUAGUGUUUUAUUCAAAUUUUAUCAUAUUUAGUACUUCAGUGAUGAGGGUGACCCAUAAGAAUAAAUAAAUAUCACCAUGAAAAUAAUCAUAUUAGAAAAGAAUGUACUAUAGCAAAAUUUUCUCUCUUCUGUUGUAAUUGAUUUUUAACAAUAGUAAAUGACGUAUAUGUCACAUCGCAAAAAAAUACAGAUUUUUUUUCAUCCCUACGUGUGCGAAAAAUAGCCUUGAACAAAUUUUUCCCAGGUGGCGAACAGCGUGAGUGAAAAUAUAGGUGGCCAACGAAAUGAUAAUUAUAGGUAUUUAAAUUAUGAUAUUCUUUACGUCACAAUAUUUUGAUUACGUAUUACCGUAACUGGGCACAUGUAGUGAAAAAAUACAUCUGAAAAGAUUGAGGUUACCAGACAUACUCUUACAUACGAAAGUGUUUACAUAUUAGGUAUUUCAUGCUAACUCGACAGGCGAUUGACCGUGGUAACGUUUCAUUUCGCUGAUUUUUUGUGUCUUUCAGGACCAAUUCAAACUAGUCUCUACAACUUUUUUUAGAUUGUUAUCCAAUCGCAUCUUUAGCGAUCAAUUUUUCAAAACUUUUGACUUGAAGGACUUUAAACUUCGAAUGAAAAUUUGAGCUUAGGCUAUAGAAUAACGUAAUUUUUUUCUUUAACGCACGAACAGUACGAUGGUAUGAAACGAAAUAUACGGUACGGUCUGGUUGGAUUCGGGCAAACUCUAUACCUACUAAUGUUGAUCGAAAUCUGUUAAUUCUUUUGCGUGUGUGGUACCUAUAUGUAAUUUUUUUUAAAGUCGCGCCCCUUGAAGUGACAUGUAUCAAAUUUACAAAUUAAAUUUCAAGUCAGAGUGCUAAAGAGAGCUUAGUGAUUUUUGGUUGUUUUUUUUAUCGAUUUUGGAAAAACCAAUUUUCAAGUGGAAAUUAUCAUCUUCAAAACACUUUCAUCAAAUUUGUCGCAUGGUUAUUUUUUUGCGGGAUUAUUGACCAUUAAAAAAUAAAGUGUUUCAAAAACUGAUCAAAUAUAACAGGCGAGCAAAUCAUAAGUAUAUCAUGUAUGUGAGUUAGAAGUUCGUGACUGUAUUGGUUAUGUGAUUAAAAUUUCGUUGGUAUCGACAGUCAGUGAUGACAAGAUGCAGUUCAUAGAGAAUGAUGUCUUUAUUACGACGUUUCGGCAGGACCCCGCCUGCCAUCAUCAGGUUUCUUAAGAAUUUAAAAAAAAAAAAAUAAUAUAUAUAUAAAUUUUACAGAUAUCAAUUUAACAAUUAACACUUUCAAUUAAAAUUAUUACACAUAAAUGCCUCUAAUUAAUUAUUAUUGUUAGGUUGUCAUAAGGUAAUAAAAUAUUACACAGUCACAUUUUUAGACAUUCCUCAGCUUACUAGUUAUUGCUUACAUAGUGUUUCAGAGGGAAGUGACUAUCCGUCUGUCAUUCCGACCCCCUUAAUGUUAAUUAUAACAACAAUGAUCUAAUGUCAUAGACUUGUAUAGAUGGUUAUUGUUGAGCUGGCACUUUGUUUAUAUGACCUUUCUUACAUAUGUUUUUUGCGACUUAUAAAAUAUCUACGUAAAGGUGACUUGGAUUGUCAAUCUCAGUUCUUUUGUUUACAGUAUUAUUUGUUGAUAUGUGUAUCAUUUCUUUUACAAUUCUUUUGUGCCAGUUGGUCUCUUUGUCUAAUAUUAUAACAUUUUCAAAAUUGAACUUGUGUCCUUCAACCAAUGCAUGAUACGCUAAUGCCGAUCUGUCUGGAUCAUGUGUUUUGAUAUCGUAUUUAUGAUUAGCGAUCCUUUUUUUUAAAUGUUGUGAAGAUUGGCUUAUGUAGCAAUCUGUGCAAUUGAUCUUAUAAAUAAUAUGGGUUUGUUCAAGCGCAGGUGUUUUUGAUUUUAAACAUGCAAAUAAAUUAUUUAGAGUGUUGGUGAUUUUAUAUGACACAUUGAUCUUUUCCUUACGCACUAUAUCUUUUAUGUUCUGCGAUAGGCCUUCAAUAAAGAGAAUGGAUCCUAUACAUUUCUCAUUGUUGUUUGCACAAUUAUCAUCAUUAUAGCUGUUGUAAUGUUUAUCUAUUCUUAGUUCUUGCAGAUGUCUAAUUAAUUUUUUGGGGUAGCCAUUUUUCUUCAGUGUUUCCCGUACUAAGUUUAGAUUUCCUGUUCUAAACUACCCGUUUGACAAUGUAAUGCUUCUACCCAGUAAACCUAUCGCAACACUUUUUUUCAUAUUGUAGCGGGUCGAAAUGACAGACGGAUAGUCACUUCCUUCUGAAACACUAUGUAAGCAACAACUAGUAAGCUAAGGAAUGUCUAAAAAUGUGACUGUGUAAUAUUUUAUUAUCUUAUGACAACCUAACAAUAAUAAUUAAUUAGAGGCAUUUAUGUGUAAUAAUUUUAUUUGAAAGUGUUAAUCGUUAAAUUUAUAUCUGUAAAAUUUAUAUAUAUAUUAUUUUUUGUUUUCUUUUUAAAAUUUUUAAGAAACCUGAUGAUGGCAGGCGGGGUCCUGCCGUAACGUCGUAAUAAAGACAUCAUUCUCUAUAAACUGCAUCUUGUCAUCACUGACUGUCGAAACCAACGAAAUUUUAAUCAUUAACGCAACCACAUUUUUAUCUUACUAUGCACGUAUAGUUCAGACUACUAUGUGGGAAUAUUGCAAUAAAAUCAAGAAUUUAUCGUUCAACGGGCCAUACAUUCAUUUGGCUGGUACUCUACUAUACGUAUAUGUAUAGUAAUUUCUAACAAUAAUAUUACUGUAAUUUAUGUAAUACCAUAAUUGUCUUUACCAAUAAAAUAUAGUAGUCACUUCCAAUCACCGUAUUUUGUACUGAAAAUAUGGUAAAUUCAGCCAUUUUGUUUGGCGAGUGAUUUAUUCCUUUAUAUUGUGAUUCUUUUCGUUGGGAUAUUUAUAAAUUCUCAUGUAUCACUUUCGUUAAUGCAGUUUUGAUUAAAAAAAAGUUAGAAGAAAAUUUAAAAAAGUUCAUCACCUUUAAUUCUGUUGAGAAUGUUUGCCAUGGGUCACGGGAUUUUUGUGAAUUUUUUCAAGCCGAUCGGCAAAGGCGUAAUUUCUGAAUUGUGAAAAAUUCGAAACUCGCAAAUAGUUCAGUGAAUCAGAAUUUGAAAAAUGUAAAAGAAUAUUUCAGAGGAAAUAUCAGUACAUAAUGAAAACUCGUCCAUUGAAACGAAGAUGACGAGGGUCUUUAAUUUGUCGAUUUCACAAAAGAAAGCCCAUAUGUAUAAGAUACACAGUUUCAAUGAGUCGGACAGUGAUAUCGAGUGAGCUAAUCUUAUUAAGGAAACAGUUAAUUGAAUGAACGGGCCUUAUGAGAUUGUAAGAUAAUAUUUUGCUAUUAUUUAAUCUCGUAUAGAGAAAUAAGGAUGAAAUGAACCUAAUUACCAUAUGUUAGCAUGUAAUUAGUUUUUAACGAUUAGCCUUACUCAUUGACUGAUACUUAAACACGCAACUAAUGUUUCGUAUUACUUAGAAUAAACUUUGGGUUAGAAAAAAACUUUGUAUUGACGCAUUAUGAAGCCUAACACUAAUUAUUAAUAUAACUGUUAUUUUAAUAUUCAAGGUAUUUUCAGUUUUUCCUAUCUUCAGUAUGUUCUUAUUAAUAAUCAUAAUGACUAAAAUGAUUCUCUUAAUAAAAAUUCAAUAUCACUUAUCUUGUGAUAGUCUUGUGAUAAAUCAUUCCGUGACUAAUCCAUAACGCACAUAUUGAUAUAUUUCGUCAAAAUGUAUAACUUGACUUUAUAUAUUCCGUAUACUUCUAUUACUUUAUAUUCCACACUGUUUUCUCUUUUAUAAAUCGUAUGCGCCAUGCUUACAUUAUUAGUCUUAGAAGCUACGAUCAUGGGGUGAUUUAAAUAAUCAUCACGUAUGACACUAUGAUCUUUAGUUUAUCCUGCAAGCAAUUUAUUUGAACAAUAAAAACCAAUUUUAUAUUUCGAAGAUUGUUUCCAAAAAUUGACAGCCUGCCACCGUAUUUACAGAGGAUACACCCGAAUAUAUGGUGGUGAUCAGCAAAGUUCAAUAAAACUGUGAAAGAUAGGGUAAGAAUUAGGAAAUAUAAAAAAUUGCUUAAUUCAAUCAAAACAUAUGUUUAUUAAUUGCUGACAUAACUUACACACUAUAUUAUCAUGAUUAGAUUGCCAAAGUAAGCACACCAAGGUACCCUAAGUAGAAUUUUCAAUUGGCUCAAAUAAGGCCAUUAUCGGACUUGCCUUACUAUCUGAUCAGGUACACAUCAGGCUACCUACCUGAUCAGGGCCUGAGCAGAAAUGUAACGUGCCGUUCUAGAAUGCCUUGAACAGACUGAGUUCAGGUACCAUGGUCAGACCCUGAUUAGUCGUUGAUCAGAACUGGAUCAGGGCCUCACCAGGUGUUGAUAAGGGCAGGUUAAGAUACUACCUGAUCAGGCUCAGGCAACGAUUCUACAGAAUUUUUUAUUUUUGAAAUAACAUGAUUUAAUUUUCAUUGGGUGAAACAGUCAAUGAUGACAAGAUGCAAUUCACAAUGGAUGAUGCUUUUAUUCAUUUAUUGAGGGCUUGUCGCAGAAAAUAAAAAAUACACUGCGCAAAGAAAACAUCAAUGUGUCAUAUAAAAUCACCAACACGUUAAAUAAUUUAUUUACAUGUUUGAAAUCAAAAACACCCGCGCUUGAACAAACUAAUAUUAUCCAUAAGAUUAACUGUAUAGAUUGUGAUAAAUGCUACAUAGGCCAAUCUUCGCAACAUUUAAAAAAAAGGAUCGCUAAUCAUAAAUAUGAUAUUAAAACACAUGAUCCAGACAGAUCGGCAUUAGCGUAUCACGCAUUGGUUGAAGGACAUAAAUUUAAUUUUGAAAAUGUAAAAAUCUUAGAAAAAGAGACAAACUGGCACAAAAGGAUUGUAAAAGAAAUGAUACACGUAUCGAGAAAUAAUACUGUAAACAAAAGAACUGAUAUUGAUAAUCUAAAUCACCUCUACGCAGACAUUUUAUAAGUCUCAAAAAGCAUAUGUGUUGAAGGUCAUACAAACAAAGUGCCAGUACAUCAACAAUCACGUAGGCAAAUAUAUGACAUUCAAAUAUUGUUGUUAUAAUUAACAUUAGGAGUGUCAAAAUAACACAUGGAUAGUCACUUCCUUCUGAAACACCAUGUAAGCAACAUCGUUAAAGCUAAAGGAUAUCUGAAAAUGUAAGUUUGCAAUAUUUUAUUUUCAUCCAACAACUUAUUAAUAAUAUUUAGUAGUGGCGUUCUUGUACAAUAACGUAAUUGAAAGCUCUAUUUAUGAAAUUUGUUAUUUAUUAAAAUUUAAGAAACCUGAUGAUGGCAGGCGGAGUCCUGCCGAAACGUCGAAAUAAAUGCAUCAUCCAUUGUGAA